GAUGAACGCUGGCGGCGUGCCUAACACAUGCAAGUCGAGCGAAGCACUUUGCUUAGAUUCUUCGGAUGAAGAGGAUUGUGACUGAGCGGCGGACGGGUGAGUAACGCGUGGGUAACCUGCCUCGUACAGGGGGAUAACAGUUAGAAAUGACUGCUAAUACCGCAUAAGACCACAGCACCGCAUGGUGCAGGGGUAAAAACUCCGGUGGUAUGAGAUGGACCCGCGUCUGAUUAGCUAGUUGGUAAGGUAACGGCUUACCAAGGCGACGAUCAGUAGCCGACCUGAGAGGGUGACCGGCCACAUUGGGACUGAGACACGGCCCAAACUCCUACGGGAGGCAGCAGUGGGGAAUAUUGCACAAUGGGGGAAACCCUGAUGCAGCGACGCCGCGUGAGCGAAGAAGUAUUUCGGUAUGUAAAGCUCUAUCAGCAGGGAAGAAAAUGACGGUACCUGACUAAGAAGCACCGGCUAAAUACGUGCCAGCAGCCGCGGUAAUACGUAUGGUGCAAGCGUUAUCCGGAUUUACUGGGUGUAAAGGGAGCGUAGACGGAUGGGCAAGUCUGAUGUGAAAACCCGGGGCUCAACCCCGGGACUGCAUUGGAAACUGUUCAUCUAGAGUGCUGGAGAGGUAAGUGGAAUUCCUAGUGUAGCGGUGAAAUGCGUAGAUAUUAGGAGGAACACCAGUGGCGAAGGCGGCUUACUGGACA
rnacentral:rRNA from 1 species